GCAUUGUCAUUAUUUUGUUUGAAAAUUAAUUCCCUCCAUCUUUUUAGUUUUCCCUCCAAAAUUUGUAUAGCUUUCAUAAAAAUAUAUAUUUUUACCCUUAUAUUGGUUUAUAAUAUAUGCAUGGUAAGGUAGGUUUUCAGUUUUUUAUAAAGUAGAAGAAAAGAGUUAAAAUACUAUCCAACUACAUAAGGGGACAGCACAAUCCUUUGCCAAAUUCUGCCUUGCCAACCAUGGCCGAUGUCCUUGUCCUCACCGACUAACAAAUACCAAUAGGUUGAGACUAAUACGAGGCGCAAACAUACUUCCACAGGAUGCAUCUUCAGGAGAUUGGAAUGGAGAAGUGAAAACAUCUUUUUUCUAAUUUUCUCAGUAUCAUUUAAUAAUCAUCAUAUUUAGGCACUCAUGUAUUAUGGAUAUUGAACUGUAGUUUGAUAUAAUAUUUUAGAUAUUGAAUGAAUUAAAGAGUGUGAUUUUCUGUAUUAA